UAUGAAUCUGAAAUUUACAAGGUUGGGAAAAUCUACAAAGACAGAAGGAUUGUUUUCACUGAAGAAGACAAAUUAGAGAAUUCUCAUUCUGAUCAAGAUCUGGCUCUUACAAGUGGAGAAGAGAGCUCUGUCAAUCUCCUUGACAACCAAGAACACAUUAAAGGAAUGUCCACACCAUCCACAAAGAAAAAGGAAGCAUGGACUGACCCAACACCAGAAAUCACUUCGACUUCAAAGAAUCUUCGCUCAAAAGCUAUCAAGGUAGAGAAGAAGAUGAGUGAUUUGGAGGCUGAAGCAAGCAAGAACACCUAAUUCUGCUGGCCCGGAAUUUCUAUUUUUAUUAUUUGGUUUUAUUUGUUUUCUUACUUGUGAAGCAAUUUAUGUUUUUG